UUCGGCAGUCAUAGCGUGAGGGAAACGCCCGGUCCCAUUCCGAACCCGGAAGCUAAGCCUCAUAGCGCCGAUGGUACUGCCCUGGUGACGGGGUGGGAGAGUAGGACGCUGCCGGAC
rnacentral:rRNA from 1 species